rnacentral:snoRNA from 1 species
AGUCAUUUUAAAGAGUGCUUAUGGAACUGUGAAAGCUCUUAACUUUAUGAACAAAGAUUGAAGUUCUCCAUUGAACGCCAUAGUCACUCAAUAGUGUUAUGUUUUCCUGAAAAGAUGUAAGA